rnacentral:tRNA from 4 species
GGCCUCGUGGCGGAAUGCAACGCAGGGAGCCUGCAAACUCCCCUGUCCUUGGUUCAAACCCAGGGCGAGGCCUCCA